rnacentral:tmRNA from 1 species
GGGAUUGAGAAGUCCGGCGUGAAAGCCUAUCUCUCGGGUGUCCGGUUCGCCGGACUAUGGGGAUAAACGCGCACGAAAUAAGCGGACUGGACCCGGGUGCGAUUCCCGGCGGCUCCACCAAAACCUUUCCCCCGCUCCGGCGGGGCGGUGCGGGGCCGAUCAGCAUCGACAGACGUGUAAAGGUGUUGCUUUCUCCCGGCCUGGCCCACCGUUUCGGGCUUUAAACUAACUGCGAACGAUAACUUCGCUGAAGAAGUUCGUCUGGCCGCGUAAGCGACCCGACGGGUUUCGACCUGAAGCCCUGGCGUCUUAGCAGCGUCAGGCGGGGCUCGGAGGGGGCCUGGCAACAGAACCCCUCCACU